UGAAAUCUCGGGGCUCAACCUCGAAACUGCGUCUGGAACUACAGGUCUAGAAUCUUGGAGGGGGAAGGGGAAUUUCGCAUGUAGGGGUAAAAUCCGUAGAUAUGCGAAGGAACACCAGAGGCGAAGGCGCCUUCCUGGACAAGUAUUGACGCUGAGGCGCGAAAGCGUGGGGAUCAAACAGGAUUAGAUACCCUGGUAGUCCACGCUGUAAACGAUGAAUACUAGAUAUUGCAGGAUUUGACCCCAGCAGUGUCGAAGCUAACGCGUUAAG
rnacentral:rRNA from 1 species